GCAGUCUGUUCCACUCUGCAUCCCUCAAUUUCAAUUAUCUUUUUAAAUUAAUUUUUUUAACCAGAGCACUGUUCAGCUCUGGUGUAUGGUGGGGCAGGGGAUUGAACCUGGGACCCUGGAAGCUCAGGCAUAAGAGUCUGUUUGCAUAACCAUUAUGCUAUCUAUCCCCACACCUCUGCCUCUCUCUAUCUGAAAAAGUCGCCCUGAAGUGGUGAAGCCCUGGCAGCAACAGAAAAAAAAAAAAAAUCCAAGGACAAGCAAUCCCUAUGCCACAAAGCCUGCUGGAAUUACCCUAACUAGAUGCUUAUCAGACAAGCAUCCAAAGAGAAAAGGGGAGGAUGUAUGGAAAAUGCUCUGCCUUAGGAGAAAGAAAAGAGGGAAAAACAAAUAAAAAAACAAACAAACAAACAAAAAGGAAGGAAAAACUUUACUCACCUAGAGAUACAGUUAUUCUAAAAUACUUUGUUUCAGAGGCAGUAAGUGUCUAAGAAGGGGACUGCAGUCUGGGAGCUUUGGCCCCCGUUUCCUCCCUUCUCUUAUCAGCCAAAGACAGAAGAGGAGGAAGAAAAGGACUGUGAAAUAGAACCUCAUAAAUACAAGAGAGGAGAAACACUACAGCACUGCUCCUCCUUGGUGCCAUCCAUGGCAGUACGAGAGCCUGAAGCAGAGCCUUACAUAUGUUAAAGCCCACACUCUACUGGGUGAUCUGUCUACGACUCCCGAUGGUCAAAGUUUGUCUGUUAUUAGCCCUAGAAAAAAAAAUAGUAGAAGCGAGGGCAGGGGAGCAUAAUGGUUAUGCAAAAAGCCUUUCAUGCCUGAGGUACCAAAGGUCCCAGGUUCAAUCCUUUGCACCACCUUAAGCCAGAGCUGAAUAGUGCUCUGGGGGAAAGGAAAAAAAAAAACCCAAAA